rnacentral:rRNA from 1 species
AAAGCUCAAAUUUUGAAUCUGGUGUCUUUGGCACCUGAGUUGUAAUCUAGAGAAGUGUUUUCCGCGUUGGACCAUGCACAAGUUCCCUGGAACGGGGCGUCAUAGAGGGUGAGAAUCCCGUAUAUGGCAUGGACUACCAGUGCUCUGUGAUACACUCUCAACGAGUCGAGUUGUUUGGGAAUGCAGCUCAAAAUGGGUGGUAAAUUCCAUCUAAAGCUAAAUAUGGGCGAGAGACCGAUAGCAAA